AUGUCCCCAGAAAUGAUGGCAGGGAUAACACACAAUGAGAGGGUGUAUCUGUGGGGCACUGGGGUGCUCUGCUGUGAAUGGCCGGUGGGAAAUCUUCCCUUCAAGAGCACUUCACAUAGUGAGACCUCCAGAUGCACUUUCAAGGGAGAUGUGUGGCUUCCACACCAGUGCCUUCUGGGGCCAGGACUUCAUCUCCAAGCUGCUUGGAUACCAGCUCUCUCAGUGGCUGCCCUUGUCCACUUUAAUCACCU
rnacentral:lncRNA from 1 species